UCAUGCGGAAGUGGGAUGUGAUUGGAGGAGCCACGCCGUAACCAGGUGCCCACCUCAGCCUACACACAACCACUCAUGGGAGGAGACAAUCUGGGUGGAGCUAAGGGACAGGCAGACCCAUGGGAAGGAGUCCCAGGGACACAGAGUCAUCUGGGAUGCGUCUCUAUGUCACCAUGGUGCGUAAACUUAGCCUCCUUCCCAGACAGCCCUGUUUCUACUUCACAGGCUUUGAGGUGUUGCUGCAGUCUGUAAACAAACCCUUCAGGAGUCCAGUUGGUUCCUUGAUAGCUGUGGCACGCAUAGUUGCAGAUUUUAACCCGCACAGGUAAAGUGUGCUGUGUUGUAACACUUAUGGUAAGUGGUAUAAUUGUAGUCAUUUUGCCUGCAUUUUUACCUUUUAGCUGGUAGUUUUAGUAUCAUAGUUGUGUAAAGUGUGUUAUUGUGUCACAUGCUAAUGCACUUAGAAUCGGUGAUCUGUAUGGUUAACGGAGACAGCACUCGUUGCAUCGCAUGCUAAAAUUGGUGCUUUAAAAGCUUCAUCUGUAACAUUUGAGAGAAAGGGUCAUGUUAGAGCGAAAGACUCCUGGUGUGUACAUGUGGGUAGAUUGUGUGAGUUAUCAGCAAGGUGGGUAAAUGGAUUGGUUGUGCACCUUCCUGUUUGUAAUAACCAAACGUCCACAGCGGUAUGAUAUUUAUAGAGUUUUUUUAAUAGUAAUAAUCACAACAUAGUUAAUUAACCUAAUUAGGGGUUUUACAGUUGCCAAGCAAUGUAGCAUCUUACACUGGUUUGUUCAAACGUUAACCAAAGUAUGUCACAAGAGUAGGAAUAGCAAAUCUUGCCUUAACCAGAACUAGCCUACUUAUUAUGCUCAUAAAUGGUUUGAUUACAAAUCAACAUACCUUAAAUGGAUAAUGGUAUAGUCAAGUGUGCUAUAUGGCACUGUUUAAUGUAAAGAUACCUUCAA